rnacentral:rRNA from 1 species
UGGGGAAUAUUGGACAAUGGGCGAAAGCCUGAUCCAGCCAUGCCGCGUGUGUGAAGAAGGCCUUUUGGUUGUAAAGCACUUUAAGUGGGGAGGAAAAGCUUGUGGUUAAUACCCAUAAGCCCUGACGUUACCCACAGAAUAAGCACCGGCUAACUCUGUGCCAGCAGCCGCGGUAAUACAGAGGGUGCAAGCGUUAAUCGGAAUUACUGGGCGUAAAGCGCGCGUAGGUGGUUAUUUAAGUCAGAUGUGAAAGCCCCGGGCUUAACCUGGGAACUGCAUCUGAUACUGGAUAACUAGAGUAGGUGAGAGGGGAGUAGAAUUCCAGGUGUAGCGGUGAAAUGCGUAGAGAUCUGGAGGAAUACCGAUGGCGAAGGCAGCUCCCUGGCAUCAUACUGACACUGAGGUGCGAAAGCGUGGGUAGCAAACAGGAUUAGAUACCCUGGUAGUCCACGCCGUAAACGAUGUCUAUCAGUCGUUGGGUCUUUUAAAGACUUAGUGACGCAGUUAACGCAAUAAGUAGACCGCCUGGGGAGUACGGCCGCAAGGUUA